rnacentral:rRNA from 1 species
UGGAGCAGGUCCCAAGGGUUUGGCUGUUCGCCAAUUAAAGCGGUACGCGAGCUGGGUUUAGAACGUCGUGAGACAGUUCGGUCCCUAUCCGUCGUGGGCGUAGGAGUUUUGAGAGGAUCUGUCCCUAGUACGAGAGGACCGGGAUGGACUGACCUCUGGUGUUCCAGUUGUCACGCCAGUGGCAUUGCUGGGUAGCUACGUUGGGAAUGGAUAACCGCUGAAAGCAUCUAAGCGGGAAGCCAACCUCGAGAUGAGAACUCCCAGGACAUUAGUCCUCUAAAGGCCCCUCGUAGACUACGAGGUUGAUAGGCAGGGUGUGUACGCACAGUAAUGUGUUUAGCUAACCUGUACUAAUAGGCCGUGAGGCUUGAUUUU